AGAGCGAACGCUGGCGGCAGGCCUAACACAUGCAAGUCGAGCGGCCGUAGCAAUACGGCAGCGGCAGACGGGAUAGUAACACGUGGGAACGCGCCCUUCGGUUCGGAAUAACUCAGGGAAACUUGAGCUAAUACCGGAUACGCCCUUACGGGGAAAGAUUUAUUGCCGAAGGAACGGCCCGCGUCGGAUUAGCUAGUUGGUGAGGUAAUGGCUCACCAAGGCGACGAUCCGUAGCUGGUCUGAGAGGAUGACCAGCAUCACUGGGACUGAGACACGGCCCAGACUCCUACGGGAGGCAGCAGUGGGGAAUAUUGGACAAUGGGCGCAAGCCUGAUCCAGCCAUGCCGCGUGGAUGAUGAAGGCCCUAGGGUUGUAAAGUCCUUUUAACGGGGAAGAUAAUGACGGUACCCGUAGAAUAAGCCCGGCUAACUUCGUGCCAGCAGCCGC
rnacentral:rRNA from 1 species